rnacentral:rRNA from 1 species
AAGCGUGCGCAGGCGGUUAUGUAAGACAGUUGUGAAAUACCCCGGGCUCAACCUGGGAACCGCAUCUGUGACUGCAUAGCUAGAGUACGGUAGAGGGGGAUGGAAUUCCGCGUGUAGCAGUGAAAUGCGUAGAUAUGCGGAGGAACACCGAUGGCGAAGGCAAUCCCCUGGACCUGUACUGACGCUCAUGCACGAAAGCGUGGGGAGCAAACAGGAUUAGAUACCCCAGU